AUUGAACGCUGGCGGCAGGCCUAACACAUGCAAGUCGAGCGGAUGAAGGGAGCUUGCUCCUGGAUUCAGCGGCGGACGGGUGAGUAAUGCCUAGGAAUCUGCCUGGUAGUGGGGGAUAACGUCCGGAAACGGGCGCUAAUACCGCAUACGUCCUGAGGGAGAAAGUGGGGGAUCUUCGGACCUCACGCUAUCAGAUGAUCCUAGGUCGGAUUAGCUAGUUGGUGGGGUAAAGGCCUACCAAGGCGACGAUCCGUAGCUGGUCUGAGAGGAUGAUCAGUCACACUGGAACUGAGACACGGUCCAGACUCCUACGGGAGGCAGCAGUGGGGAAUAUUGGACAAUGGGCGAAAGCCUGAUCCAGCCAUGCCGCGUGUGUGAAGAAGGUCUUCGGAUUGUAAAGCACUUUAAGUUGGGAGGAAGGGCAGUAAGUUAAUACCUUGCUGUUUUGACGUUACCAACAGAAUAAGCACCGGCUAACUUCGUG
rnacentral:rRNA from 1 species